rnacentral:tRNA from 1 species
CGCCUCGUAGCUCAGAGGACAGAGCGCCCGCCUCCGAAGCGGGAGGCCACACGUUCAAGUCGUGUCGAGGCGACGA